AGCUCAGUUGGUUAGAGCAGUCGACUCAUAAUCGAUUGGUCGCUGGUUCAAGUCCAGCAAGGGCCACCA
rnacentral:tRNA from 1 species